rnacentral:rRNA from 1 species
AUUGAACGCUGGCGGCAGGCUUAACACAUGCAAGUCGAGCGGGGGAGAUUGCUUCGGUAAUUGACCUAGCGGCGGACGGGUGAGUAAUACUUAGGAAUCUGCCUAUUAAUGGGGGACAACAUCUCGAAAGGGAUGCUAAUACCGCAUACGCCCUACGGGGGAAAGCAGGGGAUCACUUGUGACCUUGCGUUAAUAGAUGAGCCUAGGUCGGAUUAGCUAGUUGGUGGGGUAAAGGCCUACCAAGGCGACGAUCUGUAGCGGGUCUGAGAGGAUGAUCCGCCACACUGGGACUGAGACACGGCCCAGACUCCUACGGGAGGCAGCAGUGGGGAAUAUUGGACAAUGGGGGGGACCCUGAUCCAGCCAUGCCGCGUGUGUGAAGAAGGCCUUAUGGUUGUAAAGCACUUUAAGCGAGGAGGAGGCUCUUUUGGUUAAUACCCAAGAUGAGUGGACGUUACUCGCAGAAUAAGCACCGGCUAACUCUGUGCCAGCAGCCGCGGUAACAC